rnacentral:rRNA from 1 species
UACGAAGGGGGGCUAGCGUUGCUCGGAAUCACUGGGCGUAAAGCGCACGUAGGCGGAUCAUUAAGUCGGGGGUGAAAAGCCUGUGGCUCAAACCUCGGAAAUUGCAUCCGAUACUACCAUGCUAGAGUACUGAAGAGGUGACUAGAAAUUCUUCGGUGUAGCAGUGAAAAUGCGUAGAUAUCGAGAGGGAAAUACCCAAAAGGGCGAAAGGGCAGGGUCACUGGGGCAGUUUACUGACACUGAGGCACGAAAGGGCU